GUGGUGAAUGAAAAACCCUUUCAUGAAUGUCUAUUUUUGUUUCAUGAAAUUAGUUAACAGGAUAUACAUUCAACACAAUAAAAAUCUUAUUGCUAUAUACCUUGCUCGACAUAUUACAAGGUGUUCAUAAAUUGGAAGUUGUUUAACUAGUUUUUGGAUGUAUUUUAGUGUUGUAACUUGUACUCUCCCCCAUAAAACUUGAAUAAAUCGUGAAAAUGUAGGGGUAUGAACUCACUUUAUAUGAUCAUUUGAGAUGGACGUGAAAGAAGAGAGGUUUCCAAGUUGAGUACACUUGGAAAAAGAGCUUGAAGAUUUGAAGUUUCUGGGAACGAUAAUAGCGAUAAUUGUAUAAGAUUUUCGUGAAUAGAGUGAUGGAGGGUGGAACAUUCAAGAGUGGAAAUGGAGAUCUACAGACAGUGAAGUGAAAGUCGAGAACUUGCUGGAGAUCUUCAAGUUUUAGAGAGAAAAUGAGAAGGAAAAAGUGUACCUUUGGAUGAUAUGAGUGGGGUUUUAUAUGUGAGGAUUAAGGAUCUAAUGAGUAGAUUUGGGACAGGGAAAUCUGAUGGAGUGUUGGGAGAAAGAUAUUGAUUUAAUUAGGUACAAUGGGAAUAGUGCCAUAAAGUAGUCAUAGAGUGGUUAUCGGGAAUGGGCUAUGUCAUAACUUUUUUUUUUUGGAAAAUUCAACCAACCCUUGAAAAAUAUCUUGCACAAAAGAUAUGGUUUAUAACGAGAAAUUCCCCAAAAUAUGAUUAAAAUAAUGGGUCUUAUACAUCAUAAUCGUGUCAUAACUCUUCGAGAUAGGUAAGUGAGAUAGGGUGCUCGGAGUCAGGAAAGCCCGUCCGGAGUUGGGAUCAUCCGUCCAAAUUCAUCCAUGAUUCCAGAGUGGAGGUGCGGGGUUAUCAACUCUUGGAGUGGCCUUGGUCUUCCGAGGUCGCAAAACUCGUUUGGUGCGGAUCCUUUCGAGGCAGGUUGGUUCCGGAUGAGGAGUUUCCAAAAAAAGGGGUGUUCCGGAGUAUGCGGAGAUUGUCCGGUACAUUUUAGAGGGUCAUAUUCCGGACUUAGAGGGCACCGGACCAAGAGGGUUCCUUUUGGGUUUUCUACUUUGGUUUGAGUUAUGAGGCUGAGGGGAAAUUUGGUGUGAGGUCUCGGUUCAUGAGACCUCGGAUCAAAAGUGGUUUGAACUGUGAGUAGAGAUGACCCGAAGGUAAUCUGGAAACGAGAGUAGUCCGGGCCGUGCCGCAGUGAGAUGAAUCAAACAUGGCCUCAGACCGAAAGAGGUCUCAGGCCAAAAGUGACUCCGGACCGAAGGUAGGCUCGGUCCAUAGGUGGUUUCGGUUCCUUUUGCUGCUUCUCGUGAAAUCUUCCCGUCUCGAGUAAUUUUUUUACUAGGCUAUAGGGGUUGGGUGCCCCCUGUGUUUAAUAAAAAGUUAAGAGAUUUAAAGAGACUUUGUUUAUGAUUGUUAAUAGUGUUCAACCUUGUAUCACGGGGUUUGCACUCCUCGUUAUGAUUCGUUGUGAAUGCUACACACCCCCGAAGGGUUUGUAAUAGUGCUUUAUGGAGUCGUUCCGUUCACUUACCCUACAAGGGUUUAGAAUUUCUGAAUAUGUGAAAUUUUCGAGUGAUACUUUGUAUUGAUAUAAGGUGUUUGUACAUUAGUGAACAUCAAGUAAAUUCUACUAAACAAGUACAUAUCGUACUUACUGUUCUCGACUCGUUGGCCUUUAUUUGGCUGUGACUUUGACCCAAAUUUGAUGGUUGUCACACAAAAAAGUCUAUUCCUGGUGUUUGGUUUAAUGUUGUGUAGGUGGCGAACAUUGUUGAGGAUUUGGCUAUUCAGCUCACAUCUAUUUUUGAGUACAUAGUCAAUUAUGGGAAUAACACCCUGUUAUGGCUGGAUGAUUAGACGGGUGGUGAUUUCAAAGGCGAUUGGAAAAAAAGUCCCUAAAAGUGGCUCCGAGGUGUUGGAUUGAUGGAAAUUCAAAAUUGUAUUCACUCGGUUGCAACCGAUAGUGGGACGGAUAUGUGGAAAUCAAGACUUUCUGCUGAUGAGAAUUUUUAUGUUCAUGAUCUCUGGACUCUUUUUUACUUCAAGUUGACGGUUCUUUUGCGGAAUCCUACAAUUUGGCUUAAGGUGGUCCCGGUGAAGGUUAUUUCUUUCGUUUGGAGAACUUGCCUUGAUAGAAUUCCUUCAGCAGUGGUCCUCUCUCACAGGAGUAUUUCGGUCUCUAAUUGCUCGUGUCAGGUUUGUGAUGUUAGUAUAAAUGACACGAAUCAUAUUCUCCUGGAUUGCCCUUUUGUUGCUGCCACUUUAAGGAGGAUUUUCAAUUGGUGCAAUCUGCCUUGGCAGAAUAUUUGCAAGAGCAAGAAAUGAUCGUCUCUUCAACAAUGUUCGUGUUUCUUCUACAAUUUUGACGGAUAAUGUUCUUAUUGGUUUUUGGGUGGUUGAAACACCGGGGAAAUUACGGGAAUUGUAAUUGGGCGGUUUUGGUGUGUAAUCUGUUUGACAUUUUGUAAUUUUCAUGUUGUUGUUCUUCUUGCCCAGCCUUCUCUCUUCUAGGCUGCAGCCUUAAUAUAAUUCCGCCUUUUUCAAAAAAAUAUCAAUAAAAAUAUAAAGUAUUUUUCAAAACUUUGAACUUGUUCAUUGCAUUUCAAACAUAGUUUUGAAAUUUUGAAAUAUGCUUUGUUUUUUUGUCUGAAAUCUGAAAUAUAUUUUAUCAAGAAAAUUUAUUUUUGAUUUUAUAUGACGUUGGUUAGAAGCAAAUCUGAAGUACACUCAUACACAACACGUUUUAGUCGUACACAUCAAUUUAUGUUUUAUACAAUUAUAUAAUACAACCAUCUAAUGUAUAUAUAUUGUUGUGUAUAACUAAAA